UACGGGGGGGGCGAGCGUUGUUCGGAAUUACUGGGCGUAAAGGGCGCGUAGGCGGCGACUCAAGUUAGAUGUGAAAGUCCUGGGCUUAACCUGGGGACUGCAUUUGAUACUGGGUUGCUUGAAUUCGGGAGAGGAUAGCGGAAUUCCCAGUGUAGAGGUGAAAUUCGUAGAUAUUGGGAAGAACACCGGUGGCGAAGGCGGCUAUCUGGACCGACAUUGACGCUGAGGCGCGAAAGCGUGGGGAGCAAACAGG
rnacentral:rRNA from 1 species